GAAGGUAUUGCUCAGCGGUAGAGUGUGUGCUUAGCAUACACAAGGUCCUGGGUUCAAUCCCCAGUACCUCUA
rnacentral:tRNA from 1 species